rnacentral:rRNA from 1 species
GAUGAACGCUAGCGGCAGGCCUAACACAUGCAAGUCGAGGGAGGAGCUUUCGGGCUUCGACCGGCGUACGGGUGCGUAACGCGUAUACAAUCUGCCUUUCACAUAGGGAUAGCCCGAAGAAAUUUGGAUUAAUACCUAAUGGUAUAUAGGAGUGGCAUCACAUUUAUAUUAAAGCUGAGGCGGUGAAAGAUGAGUAUGCGUUCUAUUAGCUAGUUGGAGAGGUAACGGCUCCCCAAGGCGACGAUAGAUAGGGGUUCUGAGAGGGAUAUCCCCCACACUGGUACUGAGAUAGGGCCAAGACUCAAAGGGAGGGAGGCAGGGAGAAAUAUGGGAAAUGGGUGGAAAGCUUGACCCACCCUGGCCGGGGGAAGAAAGGCGGCCUUAGGGUUUUUAACCUUUUUUGGAGGGGAAAAAAAAAGAACUAGGAGUAGUUUGAUGCGGGUCCUCUGCAAAAAAGCAGGGCCAAACCCCGUC